rnacentral:rRNA from 1 species
UACGUAGGGGGCAAGCGUUGUCCGGAUUUAUUGGGCGUAAAGGGCGCGUAGGCGGUUUCCUAAGUUUGAAGUGACAGUGGGUGGCUUAACUACCCAAGGCCUUUGAAAACUGGGGAACUUGAGGACCAGAGAGGGACAUAGAAUUCCGGGUGGAGUGGUGAAAUGCGUAGAUAUCCGGAGGAAUACCAAAGGCGAAGGCAGUGUCCUGGAGGGUUAACUGACGCUGAGGCGCGAAAGCUAGGGGAGCGAACAGG